rnacentral:rRNA from 1 species
GACGAACGCUGGCGGCGUGCUUAACACAUGCAAGUCGAACGGACAGGCCCUGCUUUUGUUGGUUGCUCGAGUGGCGAACGCGUGAGUAACACGUGUGUAUCCUGCCCUUGUCUUUGGGAUAACUUUUGGAAACUCGGGCUAUUACCCGAUAUGAGCUCCUGCUGCAUGUUGUGCAAUGGAGAGUUUCGGCUGUUGGGGAUGGAAUCGCGGCUUAUCAGCUUGUUGGUGUGGUAGUGGAUUACCAAGGCUUUGACGGGUAGCCUGCCUGAGAGGGUUACCGGCCACAAUGGGACUGAGAUAGGGACCAGACGCCUACGGGAGGCAGCAGUGGGGAAUAUUGCAGAAUGGGCGGAAGCCUGAGGCAGAAACGCCGCGUGCGGGAUAACGGCCUUCGGGUUGUAAACCGAUUUCGACUGUGACGAAGAGUGAGUGACGGUAAUGGGUAAAGAAGCACCGGCUAACUACGUG